AACGAACGCUGGCGGCAUGCCUAACACAUGCAAGUCGAACGCCAUGGUUUCGGCCAUGGAGUGGCGCACGGGUGAGUAACGCGUGGGAACCUGCCCAGCAGUAUGGGACAACCGCGGGAAACUGCGGCUAAUACCGUAUACGCCCGUCUUUGGGAGACCAGGGGCGGGGAAAGAUUGAUCGCUGUUGGAGGGGCCCGCGUCGGAUUAGGUAGUUGGUGGGGUAAAGGCCUACCAAGCCUGCGAUCCGUAGCUGGUCUGAGAGGAUGAUCAGCCACACUGGGACUGAGACACGGCCCAGGCUCCUACGGGAGGCACCAGUGGGGAAUAUUGGACAAGGGGCGAAAGCCUGACCAAGCAAUGCCGCGUGAGUGAUGAAGGCCUUAGGGUUGUAAAGCUCUUUCACACGCGACGAUGAUGACGGUAGCGUGAGAAGAAGCCCCGGCUAACUCCGUGCCAGCCGCCGCAGUAAGAC
rnacentral:rRNA from 1 species